CGUUUUUUAUUAUUUAUCUUGGAACUUAGGAGCAAAUCUUGAAGCAUACAACAGGCAUGAUACUGGUGAUAAUUCUGUGAAGCUUAAAGUAGUGUUUGGCAAGAAUGACAAAAUGACAUUGAAAUGGGCCACGUGUGCAUAUAUCCAACUGUAUCAUGAUUUUCGUUAUUGUAUUUAAGCAGGUAGCAGAGCCUCGGCAACUGUACAACUAUUUCUUUUGCUCCACCUUAAGAUUUACUGUACAAUAGAAGAUGCACUUCAUUGGUUUCUGCACGAGAAAUAUUGCCAAGUUCUAUCCAAUUCACCCAACGCAGCAUGGCAAAAAAAUAAAGGGACAAUGAGUCAGACUGUGAACUGUGAUAUAGUUGGAAGGGAUAUAAAGAGGAAAGGAAAGGAAAGGAAGGGAAAAGAAAACCAGAAUCCUUGCUUAGAUAGAGAAGCAAAGUGGCUUUGUGUCUCAUUCAUUCAAUUUUCCAGAUGAUUUGUUAAAGCAUAUGUUCCGAAGGCAUCUCAACACAUUUUCCUAUUAUUCUCAUUCUCUAGAGAAAAUAUUGUAUUUUUGCUUUCAUCUAAUUUAGGUACUACUUGACACCAUUUCACUAAAGAUUUUGCUCAAUGAACAACAAACCAUAUGGUUAAAUAACGUAUAACGUUAUGUUGAGAUCAUGCCAGUCAUAUUCAGAUUCAUUAUGCAAAAUCACAGUACAAUCUUUGCUAUAGCACGUAUGUGUGUGAUAACGAAAAAGCAUAGAUUGACAUUACGUAAAUGAGUAUUGUUAUUUCUGAAGUUUGAACGAUAAUGUACAUUUCAUUUUUUA